rnacentral:rRNA from 1 species
GACAGGGGGCUCGAGCGUUAAUCGGAAUCACUGGGCUUAAAGGGUGCGUAGGCGGGCCAGUAAGCGUCUUGUGAAAUCCCCCGGCUCAACCGGGGAACUGCGGGGCGAACUGCUGGUCUUGAGGAAGCUAGAGGCCGGUAGAACGAUUGGUGGAGCGGUGGAAUGCGUAGAUACCAAUCGGAAUGCCGAAAGUGAAGACAGCCGGCUGGGGCUUUCCUGACGCCGAGGCACGAAAGCGUGGGGAGCAAACGGG